rnacentral:lncRNA from 1 species
UCGUAAUAUUUUUUACCAUGUAUACAGGAUUUUUUUUUGGGUAAAAUGUAUACAAGAUUUUUUGAAAUAAAUAAUAAGAAAAAGGUACUUUAACAAAUAAAAACGUCAUAAUUAAGUGAUAGGUUUGGCAGAGACUGCAAAGAGUUCAUUUUGGAUAAUAUAUGGUUGGUAUUAUAUCCGUGGUGGGCUUCUCCGAAAGUCUUUACGAAUCGAGUGUGUAAGUUCAUGAUAUUCAACGUUGCUAAUUAAUGCUUGGGAGGAGAGCAUCGACCUCCGCGAGGAGGUCUUGGAACUGUUAUACAAGGCUUAAGUCGACUACUCAGAGGAGCUCGACAUGGUGGGGAUGGUCUUACGCAUAUGCUAGGUUUCGACCCUAUCAGUAUCCGUGCAGCCUCACCUACACAAACAAGUCAAUAUGUUAGCAAAUAUUACAGGAGAGAUUAUUAAAAAGUUAUAAUUAACAUUUAUGUAAUUAGUGUCCAAGUAUUGCCGAAGCGUCGUGAC